rnacentral:rRNA from 1 species
GUGGGGAAUUUUGCGCAAUGGGGGCAACCCUGACGCAGCGACGCCGCGUGGAGGACGAAGUCUUUCGGGAUGUAAACUCCUGUCAGUGGGGACGAUAAUGACGGUACCCACAGAGGAAGCACCGGCUAACUCCGUGCCAGCAGCCGCGGUAAGACGGAGGGUGCAAGCGUUGUUCGGAAUUACUGGGCGUAAAGCGUAUGUAGGCGGCAAGUUAAGUUCAAUGUUAAAGCCCACGGCUCAACCGAGGAGAUGCAUUGAAUACUGGCUAGCUAGAGGGUGUUAGAGGAAGACGGAAUUCCCAGUGUAGCGGUGAAAUGCGUAGAUAUUGGGAGGAACAUCGGUAGCGAAAGCGGUCUUCUGGGACAUACCUGACGCUGAGGUACGAAAGCGUGGGGAGCAAACGGGAUUAGAAACCCGAGUAGUCC